rnacentral:rRNA from 1 species
AAUGAACGUUAGCGGCAGGCUUAAUACAUGCAAGUCGAGGGACAGCACAGGUAGCAAUACUGGGUGGUAACCGGCAAACGGGUGCGGAACACGUACACAACCUUCCUUUAAGUGGGGGAUAGCCCAGAGAAAUUUGGAUUAAUACCCCGUAAUAUAGUUGAAUGGCAUCAUUCGAUUAUUAUAGCUACGGCGCUUAAUGAUGGGUGUGCGGCUGAUUAGAUAGUUGGCGGGGUAACGGCCCACCAAGUCUACGAUCAGUAGCUGAUGUGAGAGCAUGAUCAGCCACACGGGCACUGAGACACGGGCCCGACUCCUACGGGAGGCAGCAGUAAGGAAUAUUGGUCAAUGGACGCAAGUCUGAACCAGCCAUGCCGCGUGAAGGAUUAAGGUCCUCUGGAUUGUAAACUUCUUUUAUUUGGGACGAAAAAGGGCCUUUCUAGGUCAACUGACGGUACCAGAUGAAUAAGCACCGGCUAACUCCGUGCCAGCCGCCGCGGUAACAC